UACGUAGGUGGCAAGCGUUGUCCGGAUUUACUGGGCGUAAAGGAUGCGUAGGUGGAUAUUUAAGUGGGAUGUGAAAUACCCGGGCUUAACUUGGGUGCUGCAUUCCAAACUGGAUAUCUAGAGUGCAGGAGAGGAAAGCGGAAUUCCUAGUGUAGCAGUGAAAUGCGUAGAUAUUAGGAGGAACACCAGUGGCGAAGGCGGCUUUCUGGACUGUAACUGACACUGAGGCAUGAAAGCGUGGGGAGCAAACAGG
rnacentral:rRNA from 1 species